AUGCAUCUUAACAUUUAUAUAAAUAUAUAUCAUAACCUAAAUAUAAAUAAUUUAACAACUUAAAUUAGAAAAAAAUAAAAAUACCGGGCGUAGUCCGGGUUAAUCCCUAGUCUAUAUUAUAAUAGGAGAGUUUUUGUUCUCUCCUAAGCAUGUCCACGUGGCAUAUUGUGGGAUCCAACCGGGUUUUAUUUUUUUAUUUAUUUUUAUUAACCAAUUCUUUUUCCUCACGACCGUGCAUAUCCUUUUCACCUCUUUCUCUCUUCUCGAACAUUCACGCUCUCUUCCUCUCCCGGUGGUCCCAGCGGCGGCGCCACGAGGCAGUUCUCUCCGGUUUAUGUAGUGGAUCUGGGUUCAUGGGUUUCGACCUCGGUUCUGGAUCCGGCCCGGUUUAUCCAAUCGACGUUAUGUCUCACGAUGAUAUAGAUGGUUAUUCUGUUCCUGUCAUUAAACCCCAACAUGAAGAUGACGACAUCUCAAAGAUGCAUCAUGAAUUUGAGCGGACGAAACAGAUGCCUAAGAUGAAUCCUCAAGACUUGAGUAUUUCUUGAGAAGUAUAUGAGCUCCAGUCUUGCAGUUUUGUUAUAGUUUCUGUGCAGAAAACUAUUUUGGUUGUCGUAAGCUUAGUAGUACGGAGAAAAAAAAGAGUACAUGUGUCGUGAUCAAAUGAGAGGUCAUGUGUGAUUAAUGGACUUCUUAUGUUUGAGCAAGAGAAAAUAUGGCAAGCCGCACCAGGAGUUUGUGAACAUUCUAUGCACAUACAAAGACAUAUUUGAGCUCCGAAAGCGAGUCGAAGCAUUUGAUUUGCAGUAUGAAAUGCAUGCUUCUAGCUACCAGAGAGAUUGUUUACGCAUUAACAGAGGACUUCUGAAUUAUAAGUUUUGAUGCCUAAAACUCUAUAGAAUAUGAUCACCAUUGAGCCCAACGGUUUUCUCUUUUUGAGUCACUCUCAGAUUGGAUGCUUGACAGUGCUUCCGGCUAUUUUUACAACCAGACCAAUGGUCUGCACUAUGAGGUUCUGGAUUCAAUUACAGUGACUCAAUAGAUGAAGCAUACUAUGCAGUUAAAGAAAACGUGGCAAGAGGCAACCAAGAGAAGUGUGCCUAGGAUGGCUGGUUCUACUUUAUGGAGUAAGUCCAGUGUUGCAAGAUAUCUUUUUAUAGCGUGCCUACAAGCUUCUUCAAGGAGGAUGUCUUUUUAGUGGCACAAGAUCAAGAAAUCUGCUUCGGAAUGUUUCAUAACCGAUGGAAACUUUUAAUGCAAUGCAUGUGUAGGAGUGACAGAGUGCGAGUAUUAUGUAUUUUAAAUCCCCACUACAUACUUUUUGGAUUCUAUGCAUUGCAUGUUGUAUGAAUGAGAGUAACUUUGUAUGUAUUUUAAAUUCCCACUACUCUAUUUUAUAAUUCCUUAGAAUCAGUGGUGAGAGCCAAUCUUUGUAUGUACUUUUUUUUAGUCAUGUAUAUAACAGAUAAAUCUC